rnacentral:rRNA from 1 species
AGAGUUUGAUCAUGGCUCAGGAUGAACGCUAGCGGCAGGCUUAACACAUGCAAGUCGAGGGGUAUAGGUUUUCGGACCUAGAGACCGGCGCACGGGUGCGUAACGCGUAUGCAAUCUACCUUUUACAGAGGGAUAGCCCAGAGAAAUUUGGAUUAAUACCUCAUAGUAUUAUUGAAUGGCAUCAUUUAAUAAUUAAAGUCACAACGGUAAAAGAUGAGCAUGCGUCCCAUUAGCUAGUUGGUAAGGUAACGGCUUACCAAGGCAACGAUGGGUAGGGGUCCUGAGAGGGAGAUCCCCCACACUGGUACUGAGACACGGACCAGACUCCUACGGGAGGCAGCAGUGAGGAAUAUUGGUCAAUGGGCGCAAGCCUGAACCAGCCAUGCCGCGUGCAGGAUGACGGUCCUAUGGAUUGUAAACUGCUUUUGUACAGGAAGAAACAGUUCUACGUGUAGAACCUUGACGGUACUGUAAGAAUAAGGAUCGGCUAACUCCGUGCCAGCAGCCGCGGUAAUACGGAGGAUCCAAGCGUUAUCCGGAAUCAUUGGGUUUAAAGGGUCCGUAGGCGGUUUUGUAAGUCAGUGGUGAAAGCCCAUCGCUCAACGGUGGAACGGCCAUUGAUACUGCAAGACUUGAAUUAUUGGGAAGUAACUAGAAUAUGUAGUGUAGCGGUGAAAUGCUUAGAGAUUACAUGGAAUACCAAUUGCGAAGGCAGGUUACUACCAAUAUAUUGACGCUGAUGGACGAAAGCGUGGGGAGCGAACAGGAUUAGAUACCCUAGUAGUCC